UACGAAGGGGGCUAGCGUUGUUCGGAAUUACUGGGCGUAAAGCGCACGUAGGCGGAUAUUUAAGUCAGGGGUGAAAUCCCAGAGCUCAACUCUGGAACUGCCUUUGAUACUGGGUAUCUCGAGUAUGGAAGAGGUGAGUGGAAUUCCGAGUGUAGAGGUGAAAUUCGUAGAUAUUCGGAGGAACACCAGUGGCGAAGGCGGGUCUCUGGGCCGAUACUGACGCUGAGGAGCGAAAGCGUGGGGAGCAAACAGG
rnacentral:rRNA from 1 species